UCACAAGUCCUGUAGACAAAAAAGAAGAAAUAGAUGCCUUUGUAAAUGUGUUCCUGUUUUUAUUUUUUUUUUUUAAGAAAAAAUAUGAGAUUUGUGCCAGCUGUGUUCAGGUGGUGAUCACUAAAAUAGAUUUCUGUCUCAAAAGAAAGUUCUGGACAUCUUCUCUGUGCUGGAUAAGACUACUGCAGCUGUAGAUCCUCUGAGGAAAACAAUCAAGGUCCAGAAACUGCAGGAAAGACUCCUUCCAGCAAUAUCAGAAGAUUCCAGCUCUAUAAUGAACUCCUUGGCGGUCAUCUGACCUCUUGCAGUCGAUGAGUUCCUCAGCUACAGCACAAGUAUCAGAUGUUUACAGGAGGGCAUGAGAAUGUAUCCUCAAGGAGAAGAGACUUCCCAAGAUCCAAUAUCAUCCUUUCACCCAGAUAAGUGAGAGAAUCAGAGCAUGCCUUUGAUGUUGUCAGCUUUGGCUUCAUCCCUUUAACCACUUCUGAAGAUGAUCCAGCUUCCUCUGGAUUGCGUUGGACGUGGGUUUUGGACAUAACAUUUGGACACCAAACUUGUUAUUUAAUUUGGAAGAUAUUAGACACCACCCUUUAUGCAGCACUGGAGGAAAACAGAGUCCAAGAAAAUUUUUCCAUAUAGUUCUCAGUAACAGGGAAUCCACACAGGGAGGUCUGAGUGCGUUGGAGGACUUGCGCACAGAAUUCAAACUACUUUUCUGUAGUAUCUCUAAAAUUUUCACCAUUUCUCAGAAAUACCUACCUACAGUUAGGUGUACAGGCUAUACAAUUCACCCUUUUGGUAGUUGUUUACCAACCCUUUCAUCUUAGAACUAUUUUGAAUCCUAGACUUUCUUCCUCUAGCAGAAUGAGAUAUUGCUAACAACACAUAUAAGAUGUUAUUUUAGAAAACUCUGGACUUGCUGGAAGCACUUCUAAGGUUUGCACAGCUUUUGGGCCCUUGUUGCAAGUGGACUUCGGAUCAUGCAGAGACAGUCAACAUCAUAACCAGCUGAAGUAUGUUUUCAGUGGAAUUUCAGUAAAAUUGAUAGGAAUUUACAAGACACAAAAGCCGUAAACAAGGUCAAAAAAUAUUUGACAAAAUGAACCCUUCAGCUUCUAGAUAUUUCUAGUUGUUUCCUCAUAAAGUAUUUCAAAGUUAUCAAUUUGCUCAAGUAAAAUCCUCAUUUGGAAAACAGUAACAAUUUGUCUAUGUGAGGCUGGGUUGACUUAUGAACUUCCAGUGGCGUCAGUACUAUUAUACCAAUGUGCUCCAGCUGAAGUAUCAACACAGGCUUUGGAAAGUUCACUGAUAAAAUUACAUAUGAAACAUAAGUAAGUCCAAGCUAAAAAGUUUGAUCACUCUUAUGGUUGCACUCUCCUUAACAUACAAACGUAUUUGGACCUUGAAACCUGGCUAGUGCCACGAUGUGACUGAGGUCCAGCAGCAAACCUCAUAUCGGUACUUCUGCAGCAUUCACAAGUUUUAGCUUUAGAAUUUGGCUCCAUCUUUCAAUUCCAGUGUUCCUAUGUGCUCAGGUUGAAGGGUGUGCAGCAGUCAUAUAAAACAAUCUGUGAAAAGCUUGAGCCAUUUAAGUGCGACUCCAAUGUAUUUAAAAGCAGCUUGGGACUGAUUUUUCUCUCCCUUAUCCUGGCUUUACAUUGAUGCUGUUCUCUUUAAUACUGUGUACUUCUUUUGGGGUUACAUUAGUGUAAGUGAGAGGAGAAUAAGGCUAAUUUACUUAGCUACAUACCUUCCCAAAGGGCACUUUAAAGUUUUAGCAUGUAUUCUUCUUCGUCUUUCUUCCCUUUUAAUCCUCCCUAAAGCUCAAAACAUCCGAGAAGGAUGAACAGAGAAAGUUUGUGUAACGGGUGAUCUUUCUUUAGAUAACUUAUCACCAAGACAGUGGGAGUUUUUUAUUCCUUCCACCCUGUCAGUAGGAAUUGGCUCCAAGAUACGAGAGAUUAGCUGAGCUUUAAUGACAAAGAAAGACAAACCAAAAAGAAUUAAAAGAAAAUAAGAGCCUUUACUCAGAUCAUAUUAAUGCUAAUUUUCUCAUUUCUUCGUUUUGUUACAAAGAAACCUUUAAAAGCACGUAUUAAAGAGGCUGUUAAGUGGAUCCAACUUGUUGUACAGUUAAUAACUUUUCAAUAUUUGCUACUUUAUCAUUAGCUUCUCAAAAAUUAUUUAAAAAACACCUAGUUUCUUGAUAGAUAAAACAAGUUGCCAGAGUCAAGUUGUUUUCUCCCCUCUAUUUUUUCAAGGGUGAACCAUUAGGUGGGAAUGGAGGACUGCAACUAGUCCUUUGUAGUCACCUUGUUGGCAAAGGUUGUUUGUAAAGAUGCUGUGAGUUAAAAUUUCCAAUUAUUGCUCAGUUAAUCAGGCCAUUGCUUUUGUACUCAUAGAGCUUAAGUAGUGUUUCUGAUCACCGCAUAAUUUAAAUUACUGGAACACAGUAAUCCUCACACCAAAACAAUGCAUCUGGAAACACAGCAACCCAGAGCAGCUGCUGGGCUGCCUCAUUAAACAACCAUUUGACAGAAUGCAGCCAGGCGGAUCCUAACACUCACCCUGGCAGGCAGUGGCAGCUCUGGAUAGCCAUGGGACUCAAGUUCAAAAACUUUCCAGGAACAUUAACUCAAAUUAAAAUGCAGAAGCCACCUUAGACCUGCAAUGAGUGCCUUGUUCUUUGAUGGUCUCAGGUGUGCUACUAAACUGUCCUGGGAGAGUGCUGGUGAUGCCAUCGAUUUCUGUGUGGAAAUUGGGAAAUGGUUGUGGACUUUGAUACUUCCACUGGUAAACACAACUGACUUCAUAAAUUUAAAUACCGUUGUCCAAUCAGGAAAUAGAGACAUGUCAUAUGACAUGAUUAUGUGUGACCACAGGAUAACUUUAAAAAAAAAAUGGUGAUGAACACAGCUCAGCAUCAUCCCUAGCAUCAAUUCGUAAAAGACAGGGAGGCGAAGAAUUGUCCAUAGGAGUUACUGGCAAGUAGCACAAAAUAAUAAAUAAUUUUAAAGACUCGGAAUGCAUAUAAAUGGCUUAAGUGUUGAUUAGUCUGCUCAGUAUUUGUUGACUGUUGCUGACACCAUUCUUCCUGACAAAAAAUUCUUUCCUCAUCAUCAUUCAGCUCAGAAAGGGUACAAGGCCUGUUUGCCCUAUACAGUAACACAUAGUUGAGGAUAGUCCUGAAACAGCCUUUCUAGACUGAACAGUAUCUUUCCUGAUGUCCUGGUGGAAACAGACUUUCCAUGGUACAGACCUAACACCCAGAGUUUUUGGAGCAUUUGUACAGCUCCAGGACCAGCUCACACUCACACAAGUCAUAAUGCAAACUUCUUAUUGUUGUUAAUGUUACUGACACUCUUUCAUGUCUAGCAAGACCCAGGUUUGCCUGCAUAACCCAUUUUAGGGGUAACUGACAAAGCUUCUUUGAGAUGGGCAGCACAAGCAACACAUAUUAAAAGGCUUGGUGCCUGCCCUAUCUCUCAUUGUCCACGCCUGUGCCACUGCACUGAUGGGGUCAUGAUCUCCCAGCAAGCCUUCUCAAGUGGUGGGAAGGGUAUCAACACUGACACAAGGGUCUGAACAGGGUCACUAGUGAAACCCCAAGGCCAUAAGCUCAGACAGACUAAACAACCACCCUAGCAGCUGUAGAAACCAGCCCUGUGGGUUGGCUCCCUCUGUGGUCCCCUGAAGGGGCAACUCAUGAUCUCUUCCCAACAUCACUGUCCCACCUAGGCCCUGCUGUGGCCUUUGGAGGACAGGGACUUCCUACCUAAGCAUGGCCAAGAGUCUACCUUUUAACUGAGACCACCAUAUCCCACAACGAAUGCUAUGACCAAAGUUCUCAAGCCAGGUAAUAGCUCUGGAGCUGAGAGGCAACGUUUUCUUUAUAAAUGGUGCAGCAGAGAACCCAAACUUACUGCUGUUUGUCCGAGUCUUUUGUGUUAGGCAAGAAAUGCCAGAAAGAAAAUGAUGUAAAAUUACCCUCUAUACCAUCUUGGUGCAUACCAAAAAAGACAACAGCUUUGCUGUUGAAGCCAAGAAAUGCCUUCUUAUAAUAGCGUGAGAGCAUUGUCAGCCACCAGCAGGAAGGGCACCAGCACAGGAGUGUGGCAUCUCGCAGAGACAGCCUGGCAUUGCCAGUUCCCAGGGCAGCCCAGCCCCUCUGAGCACAGCACCAGAAACCAGAGGCAGGAAAAGACUAAGGCAGUCUUGAGGAACCUGGCAUUGCAGUGCACAAGUUAAUUUAAGAUUUCUCCCCCUCCCGCUGCUGUUAAUGGGUGUUCCAGCCAUCAAGGCAGUUUGGAGGUUAAUCGUGAGCGUAAGAAAGUACUAUAAUUGGAUGCAAAGGUCUGAACACUCCAGGGAUAAAAAACCACUGUUCAUUCCAGGAACAUUUUAGCAACUGUUGACUGGUAGAAAGUAAACAGAUUUCAAAAAGUGUCAGCAUGCCAUACCACUACAUGCCAUUCCAAGAUGAACAUUGUUCCUAAAUAUAUUUCCUGUGAGUGAAGGAGGAAAACAAAUCUAAAUUUAAAGAAAUAAAAUCAAACCAGAUGUGCACAAGAAUAUGUUUUUGUCUCUUUUUUUUCUUUUUUCUUUUUUCUUUUUCUUUUUCAAUAAAGGUUUUUCUUUACUUUAGAGGUACGAAGUCAAUAAAUGUAAUCCGAGAGCUGGCAUGGCAUUUGUUACCACCCCAUUGAGCGCCCCUGCUAUCCUUUGUAGCUACACUCAUUUGCCAGUUUCUCAGAAUAUGUAAUUGAGUGCAGGAAUGCAGCAAAUACUUAAAACUGAUGAAGGCCUUUUAGACUUAUCAAAACCACUUGUGCUUUCAUGAUUGUGCAAGGUGUGAUGCUGAGCUUUGGCAUAUUAUGAAAAAUAGCUGUCAGUACAUGUAACUCAUUAGACUAUUGCCAAGAAACAUACACUAGAUGACCUUUAUGUUGAAGUUUGUCUGUCUGUUCAGUUCACUGCUGUAGACACUUCUGGAGUCUUUCUACCUGCAAUUAAAACUCAUUUACAGGUCUCCUAUUUGCUGAUGGUCAAUGUCAUUAUACAUACUAUAUCAUAUCCAGUACUGGAAUAUGAGUGAUUCCAAGUCAGAAAGUAUUAUUGCAGGUGUCUGACUGGAAAACAAAGACUUCUUUUAAACAGGAAAAAGUUUUAGGUAAGUGUGAAUAUUUGCUCAAAUUCCUUUUCCUUUUCUUUCUUUUUUUUUUUUUGACAGGUGUGAACAAGCAUGUCAGUUCUUGCAGGUUGUCUUCUGUCCAUGUCACUCCUCUCUUUCAGACUGAGCCUUUGUGGGUAUGGCACCAUGAUGCCAAGCGUGCUUGUCCCAAAGGAGAUUUUAGUUGGCUUUCAGAUGCCAAAAAUGGGUCAAAUCGAACAACAUGACACAGACAGCCAACUUCCACACAGUAGCAUGGA